AUGAAACUUCCAUUCGCGAGGGGGGGUGUUUACACAUCAUACCAUGGGUUUCAUGAAUCACCAUAUCUAGAGAUUCGUCGACAAAGCUUGUUGCCAGCACGACCCUCUUUUGUUGGAUAUUAUAAUUACCGAUGCAAGUCGAAGAAGGAUUGGCCGGUGCUGCCGGCUGGCGUCAAGUUUGAUCCCACGGAUCAGGAGCUGAUCGAGCACCUUGAGGCCAAAGUGAGUGCUGACAGCGCAAGAUUUCAGUCUCUCAUCGAUUUGUUCAUACCAACCAUCGACAGCGAGCACAUCAUAUGCUACACCCAACCUGAGAAACUUCCAGCAAAAAAGGUUCUGGUGCUGCACACCAACAAGAACUUCGACCAGCAGAGGACCAACUGGGUGAUGCACCAGUACCACCUCGGGAACCUAGAGAAAGAGAAGGAGCGGGAACUGGUCCUCUGCAAGAUUUUCUACCAGACGAACACUAGGGCCAGGAGUAAAAAGAUUAUAAGUCGAGCAAGUUUCAACUGGGCUGCAGACUACCCAGGGUUGGUUUUGUUUUUAACAGGCCCAGCCCAUGACGACAACGGGGCACAAAGAUCCAGCAGGUAUCUACUGGCCUCUGGCCCACCAGCGUUAGUUAUAUUUUAUCUUACAACAUCCGCAGGCAGUUUUUUUUACUGA
rnacentral:rRNA from 1 species